GCCGCGGUGCCGGCCGCGGGCUUCAAGGCCGCGGGCUUCAGGCCCGCGUGGG
rnacentral:tRNA from 1 species